UACAGAGGGUGCAAACGUUGCUCGGAAUUACUGGGCGUAAAGCGCACGUAGGCGGUCUUUUAAGUCGGGGGUGAAAUCCUGGAGCUCAACUCCAGAACUGCCUUCGAUACUGGAAGACUCGAGUCCGGGAGAGGUGAGUGGAACUGCGAGUGUAGAGGUGAAAUUCGUAGAUAUCGGGAGGAACACCGGUGGCGAAGGCGGCGAUCUGGGUCGAUACUGACGCUGAGGUGCGAAAGCGUGGGGAGCAAACAGGG
rnacentral:rRNA from 1 species